CGUUGGCGUGAUGAUCCCUUUCUAGGAAUGCAACACAUGUCGAAUAAAUAAAUCAGACUACAAUUAUCUGAUCAACG
rfam:Musa acuminata subsp. malaccensis Doubled-haploid Pahang (DH-Pahang) genomic chromosome, chr8